AGGGGGCAUGGAUUGGGAUGAGUUUCAUAUAACUCAGUACGAGAAACAAUAUUUAAGCUAUACAGCUAAAGUUUAUAAUGAUGAUUAACUUUUAAAAUAAAUUGUCAUUUCUCAAAUAAAUAACUUACCUCAGAAGUUCAUCGUAGAAUGAACUUAUUUCAAAUGUUAAGAAAAGACCUUUAUCUUUCUUUAAGGAAACUAUUUGAACAUUAUUAACACACUAAACAGUAGAGGCAGAAAGGAAAGAUAGUCAAAUCAUAAUCAAGCACCA
rnacentral:lncRNA from 1 species